ensembl:lncRNA novel transcript, antisense to EIF3H
CCUAGACUAAGGCAGUAAGUCACAGGAGUAAGACAAAAUCGCCCCACGAGUACAUGUGUGAGAAGACAGACCCUGAGGAACACGGACAGAGAUGAGCACAAGAGGGGGUUCACUGUGGAGAAUGAGAGGAAACCCAGAAGAGCUAUAGUUUCACAGGCUCCUAGGAAAGGAUCUCAGGAAGAAGGCCUUAUCAACAUAUUACAUGCUGAAGAGUCUAAAAUACUCAGUGACAUAGUGACAUCAAAGUCUUCUGUGACUUUGGAGGGAGGUCUUACUACAUAUAAUGGGUGGAACACCACAAACUGUUGACAAUCACUGGGAAAUCAGUGGGAAAUGAGGAAACAGUGACAUCAAAAUUCUAUCGAGAAGUUUGAUUAUGAAACAAAUAGAAAAAUUUAGCAGAAGACAAAAGGAGAUGGAUACUAAAGGCAUGAGAUUAAAAGGAACACCAAUUUACACUUUAAAUAACUUCAUAUGGAAAGCAAAGAAAUGGGACCUCUUUUUCCUCAUUUACGUAAAAAUACAGAAGACAAAAACUAUAAUAAAAUAUUUGUCUAGGUCUCAGUUGCUAGGGCAAACUGAGAACAUUUUCUUGGCUAUUAUAAAUGCUGCUUUGGACAAAUGGACAUUAUAGACCAGCUCAUUGGUAAUGUUAAAGCACCAUCAGGGAUGUAUUUCUUUUGUAUGCUCAAUAAAGGCAGCCUGGGAAAAGGUGAAGACAUGAAUUAUGUAAGCAAAAGCUUUCAUGCAGUAAAUUUAAAAGUAUUAUAUAACUAUAUACUUAAUACAUCAAAUUGUAACCUUGUAUGCUGAAAAAGGUUCUUAGCUAAAUGCUUUAAAUACAGGUGUGCCCAAUGUGUUUGUAAAAGCAAUAAAGAAAAAUAUGACCUUCUAAAACAGACAAAUUAAAGGACUAUUAUGAAUAUA